GACGAACGCUGGCGGCGUGCUUAACACAUGCCAGUCGAACGGAAAGGCCCUGCUUUUGUGGGGUGCUCGAGUGGCGAACGGGUGCGUAACACGUGAGUAACCUGCCCUUGACUUUGGGAUAACUUCAGGAAACUGGAGCUACUACCGGAUAGGAUCUCCUGCUGCAUGGUGGGGGUUGGAAAGUUUCGGCGGUUGGGGAUGGACUCGCGGCUUAUCAGCUUGUUGGUGGGGUAGUGGCUUACCAAGGCUUUGACGGGUAGCCGGCCUGGGAGGGUGACCGGCCACAUUGGGACUGAGAUACGGCCCAGACUCCUACGGGAGGCAGCAGUGGGGAAUAUUGCACAAUGGGCGGAAGCCUGAUGCAGCAACGCCGCGUGCGGGAUGACGGCCUUCGGGUUGUAAACCGCUUUCGCCUGUGACGAAGCGUUAGUGACGGUAAUGGGUAAAGAAGCACCGGCUAACUACGUG
rnacentral:rRNA from 1 species